rnacentral:rRNA from 1 species
UACGUAGGUGGCAAGCGUUGUUCGGAAUUAUUGGGCGUAAAGGGCGCGUAGGCGGUUUGUUAAGUCAGCUGUGAAAGCCCGGGGCUCAACCCCGGAGGGUCAGCUGAUACUGGCAGACUGGAGUACAGAAGAGGUAACUGGAAUUCCCGGUGUAGCGGUGAAAUGCGUAGAUAUCGAGAGGAACACCUGCGGCGAAGGCGGCUACCUGGACCAGCACUGACACUGAGGCACGAAAGCGUGGGGAGCAAACAGG